GACGAACGCUGGCGGCGUGCCUAAUACAUGCAAGUCGAGCGGACUUUCAAGAAGCUUGCUUUUUGAAAGUUAGCGGCGGACGGGUGAGUAACACGUGGGCAACCUGCCUGUAAGACGGGGAUAACUCCGGGAAACCGGGGCUAAUACCGGAUAAUAUCUUUCUUCGCAUGAAGGAAGGUUGAAAGGCGGCGCAAGCUGCCGCUUGCAGAUGGGCCCGCGGCGCAUUAGCUAGUUGGUGAGGUAACGGCUCACCAAGGCGACGAUGCGUAGCCGACCUGGGAGGGUGAUCGGCCACACUGGGACUGAGACACAGCCCAGACUCCUACGAGAGGCAGCAGUAGGGAAUCUUCCGCAAUGGACGAAAGUCUGACGGAGCAACGCCGCGUGAGCGAAGAAGGUCUUCGGAUCGUAAAGCUCUGUUGUCAGGGAAGAACAAGUACCGUUCGAAUAGGGCGGUACCUUGACGGUACCUGACCAGAAAGCCACGGCUAACUACGUGCCAGCCGCCGCCGUAA
rnacentral:rRNA from 1 species